AUUGAACGCUGGCGGCAGGCCUAACACAUGCAAGUCGAACGCGUGGCGGACGGGUGAGUAACGUCUGGGAAACUGCCUGAUCGAGGGGGCUAAAUACUGGAAACGGUAGCUAAUACCGCAUACCAUCAGAUGUGCCCAGAUGGGAUUAGCUAGUUGGUGGGGUAACGGCUCACCAAGGCCACGAUCCCUUGCUGGUCUGAGAGGAUGACCAGCCACACUGGAACGGAGACACGGUCCAGACUCCUACGGGAGGCAGCAGUGGGGAAUAUUGCACAAGGGGCGCAAGCCUGAUACAGACAUGCCGCGUGUAUGAAGAAGGGCUUCGGGUUGUAAAGUUCUUUCAGCGGGGAGGCGUUACCCGCAGAAGAAGCACCGGCUAACUCCGUGCCAGCAGCCGCGGUAAUUC
rnacentral:rRNA from 1 species